ACGGGAGGCAGCAGUGGGGAAUAUUGCACAAUGGGGGAAACCCUGAUGCAGCAACGCCGCGUGAGUGAUGAAGUAUUUCGGUAUGUAAAGCUCUAUCAGCAGGGAAGAUAAUGACGGUACCUGACUAAGAAGCUCCGGCUAAAUACGUGCCAGCAGCCGCGGUAAUACGUAUGGAGCAAGCGUUAUCCGGAUUUACUGGGUGUAAAGGGUGCGUAGGCGGCAUGGCAAGUCAGAUGUGAAAGACCGGGGCUCAACUCCGGGGCUGCAUUUGAAACUGCCAGGCUGGAGUACAGGAGAGGCAGGCGGAAUUCCUAGUGUAGCGGUGAAAUGCGUAGAUAUUAGGAGGAACACCAGUGGCGAAGGCGGCUUGCUGGACGACAACUGACGCUGAGGCGCGAAAGCGUGGGGAGCAAACAGGAUUAGAUACCCUGGUA
rnacentral:rRNA from 1 species